rnacentral:rRNA from 1 species
UACAGAGACUGCAAGCGUUAUUCGGAUUCACUGGGCGUAAAGGGUGCGCAGGCGGUCGGGUGUGUCAGAUGUGAAAUCCCGAGGCUCAACCUCGGAACUGCGUCUGAAACUACUCGACUAGAGUACUGGAGAGGGUAACGGAAUUCACGGUGUAGCAGUGAAAUGCGUAGAUAUCGUGAGAAACACCAGAGGCGAAGGCGGUUACCUGGACAGUUACUGACGCUCAGGCACGAAAGCAUGGGGAGCAAAAGGG